ensembl:lncRNA
UUUGAAAAAAAAAUCAUUAUGAAUUUUGGUGCAAAAAAACGCCUUACUAUACUAUGUCGAAAAAAAAUGCGAUUUUUCAAACAUGUUGUAAAAACGUGCCAUAUGACGAAAUAAUAUAAAGGAGGGCGUGAAAAACACUCCAGAAAGGUUCUCUUUGGAAAAAAAAAAUCAUUAUGAAUUUUGGCGCAAAAAAAACGCCUUACUAUACUAUGUAAAAAAAAAUGGGAUUUUUCAAACAUGUUGUAAAAACGUGCCAUAUGAUGAAAUAAUGUAAAGGAGGCCAUGAAAAACACUCCAGAAAGGUUUUCUUUGAAAAAAAAAUCAUCAAGAAUUUUGGCACAAAAAAACGCCUUACUAUACUAUGUCGAAAAAAAAAGGUAUUUUUCAAACAUGUUGUAAAAACGUACCAUAUGAUGAAAUAAUGUAAAGGAGGCCGUGAAAAACACUCCAGAAAGGUUUUCUUUGAAAAAAAAAUCAUUAUGAAUUUUGGCGCAAAAAAACGCCUUACUACACUAUGUCGAAAAAAAAUGCGAUUUUUCAAACAUGUUGUAAAAACGUGCCAUAUGACGAAAUAAUGUAAAGGAGGCUGUGAAAAACACUCCAGAAAGGUUUUCUUUGAAAAAAAAAUCAUCAAGAAUUUUGGCACAAAAAAACGCCUUACUAUACUAUGUCGAAAAAAAAAGGUAUUUUUCAAACAUGUUGUAAAAACGUACCAUAUGAUGAAAUAAUGUAAAGGAGGCCAUGAAAAACACUCCAGAAAGGUUUUCUUUGAAAAAAAAAUCAUUAUGAAUUUUGGCGCAAAAAAACGCCUUACUAUACUAUGUCAAAAAAAAAUGCGAUUUUUCAAACAUGUUGUAAAAACGUGCCAUAUGAUGAAAUAAUGUAAAAGAGGCCGUGAAAAACACUCCAGAAAGGUUUUCUUUGAAAAAAAAUCAUCAUGAAUUUUGGCGCAAAAGAACGCCAUGGUAUACUAGGUCGAAAAAUGUCAUUUUUCAACACUAAAACUUAUUGAAAAAUAGGUUUUACUUAAGUCCACCUGUUUCAACCAUCUCUACCCCUCAUUAGGUACCACUCUAAGGUACAUUAUACAACAAAAAGUCCAGUAGAUGUCACUUGUGUUUUGAAAUAGCAUGCAGAGCAAGUUAGUCUGCUCACAGGAAGUUAACACGAGCAAAAUCAUUCCUCACGAGGCCUCUAUUUGCUGUGAUUUUCAAAGGUAAAGUAAUACUUUUGACAUAUUAUGGCGCCUAAGGAGUUGCUGAAAACAAAUGUGUC